rnacentral:rRNA from 1 species
AGAGUUUGAUCAUGGUAAGAAGAACGCUAGCGAUAGGCCUAACACAUGCAAGUCGAGGGGCAGCACAUGAAGUAGCAAUACGGAUGGUGGCGACCGGCGCACGGGUGAGUAACGCGUAUGCAAUCUACCUACAACAAGGGAAUAACCCGUUGAAAAACGGACUAAUACCCUAUAAUACAGGGGUCCCGCAUGGGAAUAUUUGUUAAAGAUUUAUCGGUUGUAGAUGAGCAUGCGUUCCAUUAGCUAGUUGGUGAGGUAACGGCCCACCAAGGCAACGAUGGAUAGGGGAACUGAGAGGUUUAUCCCCCACACUGGUACUGAGACACGGACCAGACUCCUACGGGAGGCAGCAGUGAGGAAUAUUGGUCAAUGGACGCAAGUCUGAACCAGCCACGUCGCGUGAAGGAAGACGGCCCUACGGGUUGUAAACUUCUUUUGUAAGGGAAUAAAGUGCAGUACGUGUACUGUUUUGCAUGUACCUUACGAAUAAGGAUCGGCUAACUCCGUGCCAGCAGCCGCGGUAAU